rnacentral:rRNA from 1 species
AUUGAACGCUGGCGGCAGGCCUAACACAUGCAAGUCGAACGAGUGGCGGACGGGUGAGUACUGUCUGGGAAACUGCCUGAUGGAGGGGGAUAACUACUGGAAACGGUAGCUAAUACCGCAUACCAUCGGAUGUGCCCAGAUGGGAUUAGCUAGUAGGUGGGGUAAAGGCUCACCUAGGCGACGAUGCCUAGCUGGUAUGAGAGGAUGACCAGCCACACUGGAACGUAGACACGGUCCAGACGCCUACGGGAGGCAGCAGUGGGGAAUAUUGCAACAAGGGCGAAAGCCUGAUGCAGCAACGCCGCGUGUAUGAAGAGGGCCUUCGGAGUGGAAAGUACUUUCAGCGGGGAGGAGUUACCCGAAGAAGAAGCACCGGCUAACUCGGUGCCAGCAGCCGCGGUAAUAC